AGUACGGUGGACUCCUGUUGGGCUAGCUUCGAAUGAUGGAAUGAUGGAUUCUGCUAUCCUGGGUUUAUUCCGGGAAAGGGAAGCUGCUACAUCCAGCUAGUUUCCAACGUUCUGCUGUAAACGUGGCUUCAGAUGAAGAGAAGAAAACCAGUUUAAGGGAAUCGCGAAAGGGGUGGGGAGAGAAAAAAGAACUCACGGUUUCAGAGAUCUCAAUCCAUAGACAGUGGAGUCCAUUCCUUGGUGCUCAAGGAAAGUAACCAAGUUAUGCUCCACAGCACAGAUUUUCUAUUGGGGGAGAUAGACAAUGAAGAUCUAACAAAAGAUCAGAAAGAUAAAGAGAAGCUUCUGGUUCCUCGUUCAUACCCAGUGGUGGUAGUUGUGUUGCUGAAGAACAGGUAAGUCUGGACUCUACAGUCCAGAUGCAGCAGAACUCUUCUAUGCAGAAUGAUCCUUAGUGUUCCAGAAUCAGCAAAUGGUGAAACAUCGGAUGAAGCAUCAGGUGUGUUCUCCAAGUCAGGAAUCCGAGCAGUUUCGAAGCUCUCAUUUUCUAAGCUCUAUGAUACCUUCUUGCUCCCUAAACCCCACCACCAUUUUUUUUCUAGAUAUUCCAGCACCUUUGUCACCUAUUAUUUCCUGUUAUUUCAUACUUAAAUUUCUAGUGUUGUUUCUAUUGUUCUGACUGGACUGUUCUCCUGAAAAAGUACCCUUAAAAUAAGAUUUUAUUAGAAAUCCUGCACUACAAAUAGAAUGUAUGUCCUUGACACCAUAAAAAAAGAGGAACCUCCAAAUUGUGCUCCCUAGAAAACAAGGCCUAUGUUUUCACAAAAGAAUGAUAAA